rnacentral:rRNA from 1 species
UACGGAGGGGGGCUAGCGUUGUUCGGAAUUACUGGGCGUAAAGCGCACGUAGGCGGACCAGAAAGUUGGAGGUGAAACCCCAGGGCUCAACCUUGGAACUGCCUUCAAAACUCCUGGUCUUGAGUUCGAGAGAGGUGAGUGGAAUUCCGAGUGUAGAGGUGAAAUUCGUAGAUAUUCGGAGGAACACCAGUGGCGAAGGCGGCUCACUGGCUCGAUACUGACGCUGAGGUGCGAAAGCGUGGGGAGCAAACAGG